rnacentral:misc_RNA from 1 species
AAGUCGUAACAAGGUUUCCGUAGGUGAACCUGCGGAAGGAUCAUUACAUUCAGUAGCCUAGCUACUUGUUUACACCCUUGUUUUUCGCGUACCUAUUGUUUCCUCGGCGGGCUUGCUCGCCGGUUGGACAAAACUAUAACCUUUUUUAAAUCUUCAAUCAGCGUCUGAAUUAUACAUAAUAAUUACAACUUUCAACAACGGAUCUCUUGGUUCUG